UCAUUUAAAAUUACUCCCUCCAUCCCAUAAAAAUAUCUUAAAUAUAUUUUUCACACAAAUUAAAAAAAACCAAAGUAAAGGAGGGACUAUAAACAAGUUCUCAUUUUACCCACAAUAGACCCAAUGUAAAUGCACUAAAGAUUCUUUCUUUUUUCUAAAAGUAGUGGACCUUACUUAAUUACUUGAGUACUUUUGAGAGUAAAGUAAACUUUAUAUACUCCCUCUAUCCUCAAAAGCAUAUCUUCAAGAGUAAAACAUAUUUUGCUGACAAAGGAAUGUUUAGAAGUACACAAGUCAAAUAUAUAAAAUAAGCAUGUUACCAUACUUAAUAGAUUUAUUAGUAUACUUGCAUGGUGUCCAUUAUAAGUACAAUUAGAAUCUACUUUAUACUCACUCUACUUAAUUUGUGUGAAACUUGUACUUUGGACAUCUUUUUGAAAUGUCUACUUCAGACAUCUUUUGUGAGAAAAAAUUGUUGUACUUUAGCCAUCUUUUGUGGGACAGAUGGAGUAUUAUUAAUUUAUUUAUUUUAAAGUAAUUCUUUUUUCUCGAGUAAAAAUUAUUAUAUCAUAUAUUGUACUCCUUCUGUUCUAAAAUAUAAUGUCAAUGAAAUUAUCCAUGAGCACCUUUUAGUUGAUAAGAUCCAAUCGUUUUCCAGCAAUUUUCGUCCUAAAGUGUUUAUUGCGUUUCAAAAGUGUGGACUGAUAGUUGACAACAAGGUAAUUUUGGAAAAGAGGGAGUAAUAAUAUUCCCUCUAUUUCAUUAAAAGAGUCAUAUUUGUAAUAAAAAAAAUUUGUUCUAUAGAAAGAGUUACUUUUUUUAUUGAUAAUAGUAUAAACUGACAUAAUGUCCUCAAGACACAAUUUCACUAUCAUCCUAUCUCUAAUAUAUUAAAUAGUCAUUCUAUUAAGAGAUAAACAUAGAAUAUAAUAUAUUCUUAAACUUUGCAAAUUUUAUAAAUAUGAUCUUUUUAUAGUAAGCAAGUAGUAUAUACCUAUUUUUUAAUUUAUCGGUGGGACAUAUUUAAGCAUUAGUUUUCAAAACUUAAUAAACAAAUGAAUCUAAACCCAUGUUAAAUAUGGAACAAUAACCUUAUAAAUGUCUAGCACGACGUACAUCUUGAGACCUAGUUAUAGUUAUAAAUUUUUGUUUACAUUCACUAGUUGCAGGGAGUGAAUUUAUGGCAUUGUCACCUCAAUACAAGUUUAGAUUUGUGGAAAGUUUAAGUCCUAGUGAGGCAUUUUCAGACCUAGACUUUUUGUGCCUCUUGAAUAGGGUUCAAAGUCAUACUAUGGUAAGACGAUUGGGAUAACAAAUUCUUGAUGUGGUAUUGGGUAUCGAAUGACACAACAAAGCUAUAUAUUGCUUAAAAAAUGAAAAAUAAAAUCUUUAAGAAAUGACAUGUAGUAGAAUAAUGAAUUAAAUACAUGAAAAGUUGUCAUUUAAUACAUACAAAAUUAAAUAAAUGAUAUCAUACAUAAUGUUGGAAUCAUUAACAAUUUCUAGAUGCAAAAUUGUAAAUUCUUUUUAUAUGCAUAUAGUAAUAUCGGAUGAUAUCUUUACGUAUCAGAUGCGGUUAUGUAUCGUAAUACCCAAAAUCACACACAUUAAAUAAGUCGAUAAUAAAUUAUGUUUGAGAGGCCCUAAGGAGAUUAUAACCUUUGCAAAUUAUUGAACCAUGAACUAUGGCCUGUCUAGACAUACAUUCACUAGGCUGAUUAUCACUUGAGCUACUCCUUCGGGAUUUCUUUUACGUUUAUUAUGCGACUUUAAGGGAGGAUUAAUGAGACUAUUUGAGUUUUGAGAUUAUUUUUAGGUAUAUUUUGGAAUUUUGGGAUUUGAGAGGGACGAUAAAAACUAUUUCUUGUACUUUGAUUACCAUUUCCUAAUGAAAAUUUUGAGGCCUCGCAGCAGACAUAGUUAAAAGCCUAACUAUGUUUUUUUGUCCACCAGUUUACUUAUAUUUCUUUCUUAUUUUCAUUAAUCUUACUAAUUAAGACCUAAAUUAUUUUAUAAUACACCAACAUCUAGAACUUUUUAUCAAAUAGAUCAAGUCAACAAGCUGAGAAGCAUCACAAUGUCCACCAAAACAAAAGGAUCGUCUACCUACCUAAUUCAAACAUAAUCUCAACAGUCAACAGGGUGAGAUCUAUUUAUUCCAAUUGCUUUCAUCAGGGAGUUAGAGUGACCUCUUCAAAUUGAUUAAGGAUUAAUUUCUUGAAUUGAAAGACCCAGACCACACAAAUAACUUCUAGGUCGGUAUAUACAUCAUUGGAGAUGUAACAAUAUGAACAUAUAUGUAUCUGAAAUUUGUACAUCAAAGUUAAAAAGUCGACAAGAACAGAAGAAAAAAAAUUAUCCAGAAGAACUACUUAGAUUAUUACAAUCAGAUAUCAAUUUGUC
rnacentral:lncRNA from 1 species